UGAGGUAGUAGGUUAUAUAGUU
rnacentral:ncRNA from 3 species